GCACUUACUUUGACAGCACAGAUACUAAAAUUGGAAUAAAUAAGGGCAGAUUAGCAUGCUCCUGUGCAAGAAUGACAUGCAAACUCAUGAAGCGGGUCUUUUUUUU